rnacentral:rRNA from 1 species
CUACGGGAGGCAGCAGUGGGGAAUAUUGCACAAUGGGCGCAAGCCUGAUGCAGCGACGCCGCGUGAGGGAUGACGGCCUUCGGGUUGUAAACCUCUUUCAGUAGGGAAGAAGCGAAAGUGACGGUACCUGCAGAAGAAGCGCCGGCUAACUACGUGCCAGCAGCCGCGGUAAUACGUAGGGCGCAAGCGUUAUCCGGAAUUAUUGGGCGUAAAGAGCUCGUAGGCGGUUUGUCGCGUCUGCCGUGAAAGUCCGGGGCUCAACUCCGGAUCUGCGGUGGGUACGGGCAGACUAGAGUGAUGUAGGGGAGACUGGAAUUCCUGGUGUAGCGGUGAAAUGCGCAGAUAUCAGGAGGAACACCGAUGGCGAAGGCAGGUCUCUGGGCAUUAACUGACGCUGAGGAGCGAAAGCAUGGGGAGCGAACAGGAUUAGAUACCCUGGUAGUCCAUGCCGUAAACGUUGGGCACUAGGUGUGGGGGACAUUCCACGUUUUCCGCGCCGUAGCUAACGCAUUAAGUGCCCCGCCUGGGGAGUACGGCCGCAAGGCUAAAACUCAAAGGAAUUGACGGGGGCCCGCACAAGCGGCGGAGCAUGCGGAUUAAUUCGAUGCAACGCGAAGAACCUUACCAAGGCUUGACAUGAACCGGUAAGACCUGGAAACAGGUCCCCCGCUAGCGGUCGGUUUACAGGUGGUGCAUGGUUGUCGUCAGCUCGUGUCGUGAGAUGUUGGGUUAAGUCCCGCAACGAGCGCAACCCUCGUUCUAUGUUGCCAGCACGUGAUGGUGGGGACUC